CUCUAAAGAAUCAGUCUUUUCUUCUUUACAGCGUCUUCCUCUUGUAUGGACAAACUAGGCUUUGUUACCUGUCUCCCUCUGCAGUGUGUUACUAGCAGCACUGGUGCAUUGGCCUUGCGUUGCAUUCACAUUGAAAGUUUUGUUCAAAUGUCACUGUACCUGCCGUGACCUGACUGAUCUCACUGGUGUUGGAGCUACAGCCGUUGGCCUCUGCAACCACAGAGAUAUUGUACGUCUGUCCACAGCCGAGUGCAGGGAUGGUGCAGGACGUGGAGCUGGAGUUACACACCAGAGUCUUGUCAGUGGAUUUUGCUUGAGCAUAGUAGAUCUGCGCCCCUUUACUCGACUGCCAGCUGAUCUGAACAUCACCUGUUUGACAGUCUAAGAGCUGACUGACCACAGACUGAGGAGCACAGGGUGCUGGGAGACAAAGGAAAACAAACUAUUACAUCAGCAUGUUUAAAAACAAUUCUUUCUCAGCAGAAUCUGUGCUGUCAAGUACAUUUUAAAAUGUGAAGUAUUGUUGUCAAAGCACUUGAAUUUGUUGUUCUUCUUUUUUUUAGCAACAUUCAAAAGUGCUAAUAAUAGUGUGUACUAUAGUUUAAACAUUCUGGAUUUAAAUGCCAUGCCAAAUAUGAUUUUAGAGAAAAUUCAUACCAGUAUUGAUGCGACGCACUUCACUACGUUGCCCAGUGCAGUCCACGCUCAUAGCUGUGACUGACACGUUGUACAUCUGACCACACUCCAGGCCUGUGAUGUCACAGGAAGUGCUGCUGGAGUUACAGGUUAGCGUAUGUCCAAUAUCAUCUACUGCUGUUACUGUAUAGUAUGAAACAAGGCCACUAGAUGCUGCCCAGGAAACAGAUGCCGUGUCCGACCCACAAGAUAAUGACACAUCGACUUGAGUGGGAACACAUGGAGCUGGAAAGGAAAAGAUUCAUGCACAAAAAUGAGAACAUUUUAGCACAAUGUGUCAUUUGAUGCCAGAAGAAUCUGCAAAUUAGAGUUCAUUCUAAAUGCACUUUGUUGUUGUUUUAUAUUAUACCUGUGUCAAGAGUGACCAAGGAUUUAGAAGAGGUUGAACAGGUCUGGCCGUAUCCUGUAACACAGAUGUUAUAGUGCU
rnacentral:lncRNA from 1 species